ensembl:lncRNA
UCUUACUUCACAGAGGAGGUGACAUAUUGCUGUGUCUUAAAACCUAAGAAGAAAGGAAGAUGUGAUCCAGGCAGAGAGAACAGCAUGUACAGAUGCAAGGAGGCAUUGCCAAUCAAUCACAGAAUCAUCCUGCUACAACUGAAGAAACAGAAAGGGAUGGAAAGGUGGGCCCAGGACCCCAUCAAGUUAGGAAGCAAUGGAGCCAGGACUGGUGCCUGCAACCAGACAGAUGUGGCGAGCUUGAGGUUCAGUCAAACAUGGGCAUAGAACCUGGCAGGCUACAGUCCAUGGGGUUGUGAAAGAGUUGGACACGACUCAGAGACUAGACAGCAGCAAGAACAAGAUGGAUAUGCAUACAAUUCUCAGUCCUGCAGCUGAGCAUCAGGAAAGAAGUUGAGCAAAGCCACAGAACCAAGUUCAUACCCUACAGAUGUUCACGGACCAACCGUGAACUGAACUGAAUAUUCUACUUCUCUUUAUACCCAAUUCUAGUGUCCCCUUCCUAGUAAAGCCUUCACUGAUUUCUGUGAAAGAAGGUCAUUGUUACUCCAUCCUUGUUACCAAGGUCCCUAUGAAUACCUCUCUGCUGCAGUGCUUCUUAACAUCGUGUGCUAAUUAAAGGUUUAUGUGUCUGUCUCCUCUCUUAGUCAGGGACAGUGAGCUGCUUAAGGGUUGGGGCCUAUGCUGGACACCGUCUGAUGUACUGAUGUUGUGGCAUCCUCACAAGACAAGGGAAAUCAACCCCACUGUCCAGAUGAGGACACUUUCCCAGAGAGUGCCACUUGCUCCUUCAUAACUGAAGUGGUUGAACCAGAGGUGUGUGGACAGUUGACUUCCAAGCUGGCAAUAUGGGAGAGCUGCCUUACUCCGUAAAUAUUCAUCAUGCUGCGAAUAUUGACCAGGGUGCCCACCACGUGCUGGCCCUGUGAACACAGGUGUCCAUGUUCCUGCAAGAGCAAUAAAUCCACCUUUGAAUGUCCUUGUGCUUUUGCCAUCUCAUAGCAGAUUGACUGUAUGAGGAAGAUAGUUAUAUUUGAGACCUCUAAGAAAGCCUUUUGAUUGACACUGAUUAUUUAGGAGAACAAUGCAAGAAAAUCUUCCAUCAAGGGUCUUAAGUUUUCUCAGAUACACAGGCUCGACUGGUGGACUCCUCGUGAUCUUGAGGAUGGUGAGGUUGAGGGAGCUACUGUUUAUUAAGAUCAACAAAAUUUUGGUUUGCCUGAGUGAUUUUUUUCACUAACAUUGAAAGUUAUUGACUGAUUUCUUUACUCAGUACUUGACAUGUACAGGUUGGAAAAUGACUAGGAUGUGGCCCCAACCCUUAAGCAGCUCACUGUCCCUGACUAAGAGAGGAGACAGACACAUAAACCUUUAAUUAGCACAGGAUGUUAAGAAGCACUGCAGUAGAGAGGUAUUCAUAGGGACCUUGGUAACAAAGAUGGAGUAACAAUGACCUUCUCUCACGGAAAUCAGUGAAGGCUUUACUAGGCCGGGGACACUAGAAUUGGGUAUAAAGAGAAGCUUGUGGUAUGCAGGAAUGGAAGGUUAGUGUUUGAGAUGAUGACUGGUAAUUUGGCCUGAGGCUAGCUUGAUAGGAUUUCUAUAGGGCAAGUUCAGGCAUUGAACUUUGACCUACUGGCAUUAAGGACCUGUUGAAGGAAGGAUUUUAAAUGAGCUACUGAAAUCACAGGGCUCCCUUCUGCCUGUCAUGCCCUGAGAAAUAUUUCUCAGGUUGCUAGGAUAACUGGUCAACCCAAUGUCUCUGAACAUGUGCUCAUUGUAAGCAUUCUAUAAACCAUAAAACAGUUUACAAACAAUCUACAAACUACUUUUGAAUUAAAAAAUAUUUUUGAGGGAUC